rnacentral:rRNA from 1 species
AUUGAACGCUGGCGGCAGGCCUAACACAUGCAAGUCGAACGGUAACAGGAAACAGCUUGCUGUUUCGCUGACGAGUGGCGGACGGGUGAGUAAUGUCUGGGAAACUGCCUGAUGGAGGGGGAUAACUACUGGAGACGGUAGCUAAUACCGCAUAACGUCGCAAGACCAAAGAGGGGGACCUUCGGGCCUCUUGCCAUCGGAUGUGCCCAGAUGGGAUUAGCUAGUAGGUGGGGUAACGGCUCACCUAGGCGACGAUCCCUAGCUGGUCUGAGGGGAUGACCAGCCACACUGGAACUGGGACACGGUCCAGACUCCUACGGGAGGCAGCAGUGGGGAAUAUUGCACAAUGGGCGCAAUCCUGAUGCAGCCAUGCCGCGUGUAUGAAGAAGGCCUUCGGGUUGUGAAGUACUUUCAGCGGGGAUGAAGGGAGUAAAGUUAAUACCUUUGCUCAUUGACGUUACCCGCAGAAGAAGCACCGGCUAACUCCGUG